UCUAAGACAUAAAACCAAACCGGAUACUACAAACCCUGUUUAAAAUUCAAAGAACUUGGCGGUAUCUUAUACAGUCAGGGGAACCUGUCCCUUAAUUCGAUAAUCCACGAACGUCAUACCUUUACUUGUUCUCAGCUUGUGUAUUGCCGUCGAAUGUAUACCUUAAAAAGAAAGUGUACAAUAAUGAUUCCACUGACGUCAGGUCAAAGUGCAGCCAAUGUAAAGGAGGAGAUGGGUUACAACUUUAACAAAAGCCACUAACCUAUGAAAACAGGUAAAAAAGAUGGACUUGAAAGUAAUAAUUAAACCAAAAAAUUAUGAAUAGGAAUCUAAGAUAUGCACACAUCGCCCGUCGCUCUCGUCGAAAGAUG
rnacentral:rRNA from 1 species